UACAGAGGAUGGCAAGCGUUACUCCGGAAUGAUUGGGCGUAAAGCGUCUGUAGGUGGCUUUUUAAGUCCGCCGUCAAAUCCCAGGGCUCAACUCUGGACAGGCGGUGGAAACUACCAAGCUUGAGUAACGGUAGGGGCAGAGGGAAUUCCGGUGGAGCGGUGAAAUGCGUAGAGAUCGGAAAGAACACCAACGGCGAAAGCACUCUGCUGGGCCGACACUGACACUGAGAGACGAAAGCUAGGGGAGCGAAUGGG
rnacentral:rRNA from 1 species